AAGACUUUAGAUAUGAUCCAGAGUACCACGGGACACGUGAAACCCUGUGGGAAGCAGGAGGGACCACCCUCCAAGGCUAAAUACUACCUAGUGACCGAUAGCGUAUAGUACCGUGAGGGAAAGGUGAAAAGAACCCCGGGAGGGGAGUGAAAUAGAACCUGAAACCCUGCACUUACAAGCUGUGGAAGCACAUUUCUUGUGUGACCGCGUACUUUUUGUAGAACGGGCCAACGAGUUACGUUAAGUAGCAAGGUUAAGCACUUAAGGUGCGGAGCCGUAGCGAAAGCGAGUUUUAACUGAGCGUUCAGUUACUUGACGUAGACCCGAAACCGGGCGACCUACCCAUGAGCAGGAUGAAGCGAAAGUAAAAGUUCGUGGAGGUCCGAACCCACGGGCG
rnacentral:rRNA from 1 species